GAGAGCGCUAGUGCGUAGCGACGAUUCUAGGAGAGGAGGUGCUCGGAGGAAAGGGCGGGGGCUGCUGAUGUAAUGGGGAGAAGUGAUUAAUCCUUCGGUUCGCCGUUUCAACCUCUCCCCGCUCCCGCCCCCAUCCGAUUUUUUAAGCGGAAAAGAAAAGUAGAGCGAGGUAGCCAAUCUUUGAUAACUGGGGUUUUUUUGUGGUAGGUAGGUUCAAACUCUGAGCUGUAGGGAGCGCUAGAGAUUCUGUACCCUUUAGUUCAGCUGAGGGUAUUUGCUAAACCUUGAAGAUCCACUUUACCGAGCUUUGAGCUCGGGAACCGAAGUUAGAAGUCGGUUCCUACUUGUAGUCUAAAAGGAGUCAUCUAAAUCUUGAAAAGAUUGUGAUCAAUAGGGAAUAGACCUUUGGUCAGUUUACUUAUUGAAGACGCGGUCUCUAUAACGUUUGGGGAAAUAAUAGGUGAGAAAAGAGAAGUAAAUGUGUUGAGGUGGUGAUUGUUUAUGUGAUACACGUUUUAAUUUUAUUUUUUUUUAGAUCUCAGAAACUCAGAGGAAAAGAAAAGCCCCAAGGGGAAUUAUCUUUUGUGUCUGUAUCUGGUCCCCUCGAGAUAAUCUCUCCCCAGGGAAAACGUGUUUUAAUUCCCUCGCUGCUGUUGUGAUGACUGAAAAACUGGACAUUUCCUGCUUACUAAUGAAAUCAUUCUGGGGUUCUCAUUGGGACAGAAUGUAAGUAUGCCUACUCCCUCAGGUAAGCCAGCCAGAAGAAGUUGGGGGAGGGUUUGAGUUUGGAAUUCUACCCCAAAUUUCU
rnacentral:lncRNA from 1 species